rnacentral:rRNA from 1 species
GACGUAGGGCGCGAGCGUUGUCCGGAAUUAUUGGGCGUAAAGAGCUCGUAGGCGGCUUGUCGCGUCGACUGUGAAAACCCGUGGCUCAACCAUGUGGUCUGCAGUCGAUACGGGCAGGCUAGAAUUCGGUAGGGGAGACUGGAAUUCCUGGUGUAGCGGUGAAAUGCGUAGAUAUCAGGAGGAACACCGGUGGUGAAGACGGCUCUCUGGACCGUUACUGACGC